rnacentral:rRNA from 1 species
GACGAACCGUGCGAACGUUCUUCGGAAUCACUGGGCUUAAAGGGUGCGUAGGCGGGCCACCAAGUCAGGGGUGAAAUCCCACGGCUCAACCGUGGAAGUGCCUCUGAUACUUGUGGCCUCGAGGGGUGCAGGGGCGUGCGGAACUCAGGGUGGAGCGGUGAAAUGCGUAGAUAUCCUGAGGAACACCGGUGGCGAAAGCGGCGCGCUAGACACCUUCUGACGCUGAGGCACGAAAGCCAGGGGAGCAAACGGG